CCGGUCACCUUCAGCCACCAGAAGAGAAAAGAGAGCGAACUCUCUUAUCUGCGCCUUUUUAUAUGUUGUGUUACGGAAAGGGAUGAUAUGAAAUACUUCCUUAGAUUUCUGACCCCGUUGCUAAGGAAGGCCUAAAAAAUCCAAAAAACCAACCCACUACAUUCUCCAUCCCUUAU